rnacentral:tRNA from 1 species
GUUUCUGUAGUGUAGUGGUUAUCAUGUUUGCUUUACACGCAAAAUGGCCCUUGUUCGAAACUUGGUGGAAACA